AUUAGACUUAACAGAAGGUAUAGGAUACUAGCACAAUGUAAAAUGCAACUAGUCAUUGCAGCAUAAUGGAGUCCAUACCAGGAGUCCAUUGGUGUAAUUGAUAAUCCACUGGAGACCUUACCAGUUUGUUCUUAGCUGUGAUCUGGAGAAAUUCCAACUGAAAUCUGGAAGGGGUGAGUAUGACUUCUUCUAAUAAAGUAAUGUGGCACUAUUCCCAGAAGCUUGGCUCUAAAUAGAAGACAGCAAUCAAGAAAAUAUAUUUUUAUUCUUUUU
rnacentral:lncRNA from 1 species